GCGGGUGUAGCUCAGUGGUAGAGCACGACCUUGCCAAGGUCGGGGUCGAGGGUUCGAACCCCUUCGCCCGCUCCA
rnacentral:tRNA from 15 species